AGCUUGGAGCAUUACAAAUGUUUGGUGUUAAUGUAUGAGAGUACUUCACAUGUAAACAAUAUUGAUGAAUUGUCUGCUUAUUUGGGGCCAAAUAAGAAGGAGGGAAAUUUUCUUGGAAAAGAAUCGGAAGCAAUAAAGAUACCGGAUAUCAUGACAGAAGAAUGCAGAAGGGUUGCUCAGCUAUUAACUUCGCCUUAUAAUCUUUAUUUAUUUCAAUUGUGUUGUAAGAAGUAUUUUUUAAACAGUAAAACUUUCUCCAAUUUAUAGACUA